AACGAACGCUGGCGGCAGGCUUAACACAUGCAAGUCGAGCGCCCCGCAAGGGGAGCGGCAGACGGGUGAGUAACGCGUGGGAACGUACCCUUUGCUACGGAAUAGCUCCGGGAAACUGGAAUUAAUACCGUAUGUGCCCUACGGGGGAAAGAUUUAGCGGCAAAGGAUCGGCCCGCGUUGGAUUAGCUAGUUGGUGGGGUAAUGGCCUACCAAGGCGACGAUCCAUAGCUGGUCUUAGGGGAUGAACAGCCAUCUUGGGACUGAGACACGGCCCAAACUCCUACGGGAGGCAGCAGUGGGGAAUAUUGGACAAUGGGCGCAAGCCUGAUCCAGCCAUGCCGCGUGAGUGAUGAAGGCCUUAGGGUUGUAAAGCUCUUUCACCGGAGAAGAUAAUGACGGUAUCCGGAGAAGAAGCCCCGGCUAACUUCGUGCCAGCCGCCGCUGUAAGAC
rnacentral:rRNA from 1 species